CCAAGUCAAAGGUGACACGCGAUUUGACUUCUGCGUGCGCGAGGCCGGUGUGACGUUGUCGUCUGCCACCUGUACGUUCGACUGAAGCUUCCCACGAACGAGAUUGCGUCGUGUGCUGAAAUUCUAUUUGUCAGUUUGGCUUCACCGACUAACCAGAUACAAUCAUGAGGCCUUUGGUCAACACAAAAGAGACGAGAAAAGAGAAAAGAGAGAGGAAAUUAGAAUACGACAAAAACAAACAAAAUUUAUGGCGGGUGACAAUACCAGCAUUCCUCGCAGUAAUCGCUCUCAUCGUUUUAUUUGUGUAUGCGAAUACAAGACCCAAAAACUAUAAAUAGACGUAACAGAAUUCUUGAAUUAUACGACAAAAACAAUAAUUAAUAUGUGUACAUUAUAAUUUCUUGCUUUUUACAAUAAAGUUGGUGGAGUUUCUCA